AGUGCACCCAGCCCCACGCCUGGCACCCCACAGCCCCCACGGGGUGAAGGGGAGCAGGCACCUGGAGCAGCCCCGGGCCUGACCCCGCACCCUGCUGCGCCCUGGGGGGGCCUGGUCAGCCCCAAGGGGGGGGCAGCCUGCUCUGCCCACCAGGCAGGGUGGAACAGGGCUGCACCCCCUUCUCCUGCUGGGGACGAGCAUGCUGUGGACGUAGCCUCAGGUUCGGAGGGGGGGUCCCCACGGCUGUCCCGUCAGCGUGACGUGGCCGCUCUCCCCCCAGCCGGCGCUGCUGGGCGGUGGCUGCGCUUCCCGGCCGGCCUGGGCUUGUCUGGGUGCAGGACGAGGCGGCAAACCCGUCCAACGGGUCCUCGCAGCGCUCCCAGCAGGCGCCGCGCUCCCCAGCUCCCCGCGGCCCCGUCGCGCUCGCGCAGACCCGGCCCAGCUGUGGGGCCAGGGCCCCAUCCCCCUGAACCCUCACCCUGGGGGCUCGGAGUGGGGCUGCCACGGCCAAGCUGGGCCACGUGGCCAGGUCGGGGGCCGUGGCACGCCAUGCUGCCCGGUGCCGUCCCCACGCUGGGUGCUGGAUUUUGGGGAGCAGCCGCAGCCCCCGUGCCGGCACUGGCUCCCCGCAGCACACGGCAGGGCAGGCUGGGGAGCCCAGCGCAGCCCCGUUUGCCAUUGCGUCGCAGUUGGGGGAGCCAGGGACUGAGUCAGCCACCCCGGCAGGGCGAGCUGCGCUUGCAAAAUCCCUCCUGCCGCUUGCCUCGGCCUUGGCACCAUUCCCCGGGCAGUGCGUGGCACCGCUGCCACCUCGCCGGGCACUGGCCACGCAGCCCUGCUCCGCUCCGUGUCCCCAGGUGCCACACAGGCGCUGGUGUGGGGACCCCCAAGCCCCAGGCAGGGGGGAGCCCUCGAUGCAACCCCAGCUCUGGGGCUCGGGUGCUCCCCACGUGCAGGGUGGGCUUCCCCAGGACCCGGCAGCAGGUCAGGUCUGGGCUUGGGCGCAGAAUGGGUGCCUGGACCAGCUGCAUCGCGUGA
rnacentral:lncRNA from 1 species